CAGUCAUAUUACAUUGAAGCACCAGUUCCUGUACAAUCACCAAAGUUAAGCAAUGUCACACCUGGUCAGUACCUAGAUGGGUGACCGCUUGAGAAUACCAGUUGCUGUA